rnacentral:rRNA from 1 species
GACGAACGCUGGCGGCGUGCUUAACACAUGCAAGUCGAACGGAGUGGCGAACGGGUGAGUAACACGUGGGUGAUCUGCCUUGCACUUCGGGAUAAGCUUGGGAAACUGGGUCUAAUACCGGAUAGUGCAAGAUGAGAUCGCGGCCUAUCAGCUUGUUGGUGGGGUAAUGGCCUACCCAGGCGUCGACGGGUAGCCGGCCUGAGAGGGUGUACGGCCACAUUGGGACAGGGGUACGGACCGGACUCCUACGUGAGGAAGCAGUGGGAAAUAUUGCACAAUGGGCGGAAGCCUGGUGCAGGGACGCCGCGUGGGGGAUGAAUGCUUUCGGGGUGGAAACUCCUUUUGACAGGGAGGCGGUACCUGUAUAAGAAGCACCGGCUAACUACGUGCCAGCAGCCGCGGUAAUAC